ACAGCCCCGCACUCCUCCCCUCGUCCCCAUCUCUCUCCUGCACUCCUCGCUCGUCCCCAUCUCUCUCCCCGCCGCCACCAACAGCGCCCGAUCCCAGCGACCUCCGGCGGGAAUCGACGGCGCCCAAAACACCAAUGUGACCCCGACGCUCCGCUCUCCCCUCCUGUCUGGUGAGAUCCGGCGCACGCGUCCUCCAGCGGCCAAGCGCGGCCGUCUCCCGUUGUUAGGGUGUCGUUCACUGAUGGAUCCAGCGCCGGCCGGCAACGAGGGCCGCCAGAUCCGCUACCUGGGAGGCUCCUCCCGUAGGAUACGGGAGCAGCACGCCGCACCCUGCAGUCGCCAGUCCAGGACGAGCGCAGCGGGUCGAGGACGGUGGUGACAAACGCCGGCUCUCCUCUGCUUCAUCAACCUGGACGGCUGCUACUCCGCCAAAGACGUCUCCUACAGAUCUCGAACAUCAUAUUUGUUGAUCAGUCGACCGGGACUGGGUUCAGCUACAGCUCCGACAACCAUGAUACCCGUCACGACGAGGCAGGGGUCAGCAAUGACCUCUUUGACUUUCUUCAGCUGUGGAUACUGUGGCUACACAUUGAACUUGAGCUCCUCAACACGGAACACGACCAACAUUGGAUCCAAGUACGGGAACCAGAUCAGGAAAGCAGGUGCUCUGCUCUUGCGCACGGUUGGUGGCGUCUCUGAUGCAUCCGUGCUUCUUGAGGCGACUGUCAUGAUGGCGGGUGUGUAUGGCGGCGACCAGAAGCUCUCCGGUGAGCAGCUCCCUCUCCUACCCCUAGUUCUCUUUUCUACUCCUAUCGCAUUGCUCUGUUGGUUUAGAACACUAGCAACAGGAGUAGUAAAAGCUUACUGAUGUAGGAAUAGUGAAAGCUCCAUGGUUGAUCCUGAUUGCUGAACAUGGGAGAUGUAUCUUAUUUUGUGUAUCAAUUACAUAGUAGUACUAUGUAAUGGAACAGUCUAUUG